CCGCGCCCCUUUUCCCGCGUGUGCGGUCCCCGGGACCCGGUUUCCGUCGCCGCUCCGCCGUGUGCGAGCUCCGCCGCUGAUUUGCAUGCGAUUUGCAUACGGCGGGGCGCGGAGCCAUGUCGGCGGCGCCGCGGGGCUGCGCCGGGGCCCCGCGGGGCCGGGCCGGCGAGAAGCAGUGCUCAUGGGCUUCCUACAUGACCAACUCCCCUACGCUGAUCGUGAUGAUCGGGCUGCCCGCGAGGGGCAAGACCUACAUGUCCAAAAAGCUCACCCGCUACCUCAACUGGAUCGGGGUGCCCACCAAAGUGUUUAAUUUAGGGGUGUAUCGGCGCGAGGCGGUGAAGUCCUACAAGUCCUACGACUUCUUCAGGCACGACAACAAAGAGGCCAUGGAAAUCCGCAAACGCUGUGCCCUGGUGGCUCUGGAAGAUGUGAAGUCUUAUCUCUUGGAGGAGUGUGGGCAAAUAGCUGUGUUUGAUGCAACCAACACGACUCGGGAGCGCCGAGACCUGAUCUUAAAUUUUGCUAAGGAAAAUGCUUUCAAGGUGUUUUUUGUGGAGUCUGUCUGUGAUGAUCCGGAGGUCAUCGCUGCCAAUAUCCUGGAGGUGAAAGUUUCCAGCCCUGACUACCCAGAGAGGCACCGGGAGAAUGUGAUGGACGAUUUCCUGAAGAGGAUCGAGUGCUACAAGGUCACUUACCAGCCUCUGGACCCGGAUGCUAAUGACAAAGAUCUUUCCUUCAUUAAAGUGAUCAACGUGGGCCAGCGGUUCCUGGUUAACCGAGUGCAGGACUACAUCCAGAGUAAAAUUGUCUAUUACCUGAUGAACAUCCACGUCCAGCCACGCACCAUCUACCUCUGCCGGCACGGCGAGAGCGAGUACAACCUCCUGGGCAGGAUUGGAGGGGACUCGGGGCUGUCGGCCCGGGGCAAGCAGUUUUCCCAGGCUCUGAAGAAGUUCAUUGAGGAGCAGGAGAUCGUGGACCUGAAGGUGUGGACGAGCCAGCUGAAGAGGACAAUCCAGACAGCCGAGUCCCUGGGGGUGCUCUACGAGCAGUGGAAAAUCCUCAAUGAGAUCGAUGCUUCCUACCAGGACUUGGUGCAGCGCCUGGAGCCAGUAAUUAUGGAGCUGGAAAGGCAAGGCAAUGUCCUGGUAAUCUCCCACCAGGCAGUUAUGAGGUGCCUCCUGGCUUAUUUUCUUGACAAGAGUGCAGAUGAGCUGCCCUACCUGCGCUGCCCCCUCCACACCAUUCUCAAGCUCACACCUGUUGCCUAUGGCUGCAAGGUGGAGACAAUUACCCUGGAUGUGGAAGCAGUGAACACUCACCGGGACAAGCCCUCCCUGAACUCACACGAGCUGCCCAGCAGGCAGAGCCCUGUGAGGAUGAGGAGGAACAGCUUUACCCCGCGGGCCAGCGCCGACACCGUAAAGCGCCCGCGGCACCACAGCCUGGGCAGCAAACCCCUCCAUCUGCUGGGGCCUCUCCCAUCCCUGGAAGCUCGAGGGCCUUUCCCAUCCCUGGAAGCUCGAGAAGGGGCUGAGCAGCCACAGCUGGAAGUCACUGCCCAGGUGGUACCUUCCCUCUGCUCCCCCUCCCCAGCAUCGCCCGUGGUCCUCUCCGAAAUCCAGACCCUGCCCAGCAUCCUGAGCAGGGUCUCUGUUUCUGCGUGGAAAUCAUCCAGCCUGGAUGGGAUUAAGGAAAAAAACAAAACAAAAAACAGUUGGAAAACCCCCUCAAAACCAACCCCAAAACGUAAAAAUCCUCCCCAUCCAACUGGAAUUGUGGUGCCAGUGUUUCGGAGUCAGGCUCCACACGGGCAGGUUUCCAUCAGAGCCAUGGGGUUUUGGCAGAGGGAUUAAUUCUGGGUAGGAUUUUGCUUCUGGGCUAAAAUCAGAUUGGAAAAGUUACAAAUACCCUCUUUGUCCCAGUUUUUUAAUGCAGCCAAAUGCUGUCCCUGCCUUCUACCACCUCCUGCUGCAACACAAACCUGCCCUGGGCUAACAGGGAAUUUUGGGGCUGCUUCACUCCUCCCUCAUUUGCUUUGCUGCUUUUCCUAUUUCAGUCUCCUUUAAGAUGCACUAUGAGCCCUGCUGUGCUUCUCUGUUUCCUUUGCAGCCUCCAGAGGGAAAUGCUUGCCUCUGAGCACCACUGCAAGCAGCUUGGGUGUGCUCUCUUUGGGAGAAUGGCCACUUUAGCAGUGUAGGGGCUCCUGCUUUCACCCUGCAUCCAGCUGGGAAUUCCAGGGCCAGGAGGAGCCGGGACUGGAGCAUCCCUGGGGCACCGUGUGCCACCCUGGCCAGUACUCGCCUUGAACUGGAUUUUAGAGCCUGUCUGUGUCUUUUCUUUCCAAAUGCUGCAGCAUUUGUCCACGGAGCUGGAGAAGAUUUCUUCUGGAGAUUUUUCCAAGCUGCUUUUAACGCUCGUAAGCCAGCGCAUCCCCGGGUGUUGAAAGUGUUCCACGUCUUUCCUUCUGGCCAGGUGCCAAAAUUAACCACAGUGGGAGGACAAAAUAAUCAUGUUUCUACUCGCUGAGGAAGCUUUUCUCUUGAAGAGGCACUUCCAGGCCAAAUCCCCACGGUUUUAUUUCUCCAUUUCCAAGUUGUUCCCAAGUUCAAACUCAGUUUUUUCUGCUGUUCAGCCAUUCAGGGAGCUCCAGGCAGGGUUUGAUUUUCCCUCCUUGAGUGCUGGUGGGAAUCCCCCAGUCUGAGCCAGUUCCUUUGCCCUGGGAAGGCUUUGCUUGGAUGUGACACUCAGGUCAGCACAUCCAUCCCACGGGCUGCCUCCUGUGAGGGACAGAUGGGAACAAACCCUCCUGCCCCUCUCUGGAAGCAGCACAGCUCCCAGUGCUUUAAAUCCCACCUCAAGCCCUAUUUUAGCUUCUCCUCCCUACCUAAACUCCAUCCUUUCACUCAUUUUUCCUGCAUUUUGGGGGUGUUUUAUCCAUUUACCCCAGGAAAUGGGAACAUGGCUGGGUCCAGCAGAGCUCCUGGGCAGGGUUUGCAGGAAGCACAAAGUUUUUACUAGUUUUCUUUAUUUUACACCAAAUUUUAGACCCACAACAAGCUUUUAACUUGCCUAUGAAUAAGCUGUGAAUGUUCCCAAUGCUGCCUUUCAUAGUUUUAAGCUGUUGUAGAGUUUGGAGCACAGGUGGUGCAGCUCUGUGUGGCCGUGUUUUAACUUAAAUCCUUUCCUUAAAUCCCCACCAAACCCCAAAUUUUCAGUUCUCUCCCACCAGUCUUGAAUUGCAUUUUGCCAAACUCCAUUUUACCCCACUCCAGCUGUUCUUGCAAUAAGGGCAGGACCCUCAGGUUGGGUGAAAAAAGGAACAUUUGGGUACAGGGCAGGAGGCUGUUCUGGACCUGCCGUUCCUGGGUGACUCCAGGAUUUAUCUGAGCAUUUCUGGCCCCAGAAGUUGCUUAUUUUAAAUGUAUAAAUAAAUGUUGUAUAUACCCACAGCAGGGAAAAUGUGCCCUGGCUGUGCAGGAGCUCAGCAACCCCAGAGCCUGAGGCUUAACCUGGGCAUUUUGAGCUCAAACUUGGUUAUUUUAAACACUCCCAGAGCUGUAAUUUGAUAAAACUGGGAUAGAGAGGACCAAGGCACCAAUCUGGACCCCUCAGGAUUUCUGAGGAGCAGAAAAAUGUGUUGAUCUAAAGAGAUUUUGCCACAGAGGGGUGAAGUUUGGUGGUGAGAAAUUGAGUUUUUAUUAGUUUUUCUCCUCAGGGUUCCCCCCCCAGCCAUGUCUGGUUUUGGGUUUUAAGUGUUGUGCUUAGAAAUAAACCAGAAAAAAAUAAAAAAAAAGAUGAAAUAUUGAAGGAAGAGAUUUAGAGGCUGUCCAUGGCAGUGCUUACUGUCACACUCCAAAUGCUCUGAACGCACAAACCCGUCCUUGUCAGGCCAGCUCUGACCAAACCCCUCCUGCUCUGUGGAACAAGGAGUGGAAAAUGUACUGUAGGAUGUUUACGCACAAAAAUGCUGGGAAAACUUGCUGAAGAGUUCAUUAUGUUCAUGUCACUGAGCAGUAAAUGAUUGUAAGGAGACAGAAAUCUAUAUUUUUACCUGCUGGGAUUUGUGAAUGGCGCUGUUGACGUGUUGGUGGUCGUGACUUUUUUUUUUAAUCCCUGCUGAAAAUCAGGUGUUUUGCAGUUUGGGUCAGUGGCUGGGAGUCCCUUUUUGGGGCUGUGGGAUGGAAUUUCAUCCUUCUCUGCAGCGUUUGUGCCUCAGUGCUUUAAUUCAAGCUUUUUCCUCCUGCAUUUUAGCCUUGAAAAGGUUGAAAGCAAACACGUCUGGAGCAGAGCAGCAGCAGAUUUGGGAGCAGAUCGUUGCCCCCGAGGGUCCUGCUGAGCCCUCGGGGCUGCAGGGCUGGGGUGAUGCCAGUGGGCAUCUCCUGGCAUCUCCCUGUGCCAGGGAUUUCCUUGAAACCACCUGAUUUCCUUGGCACUGGGCGUGCAAACACCCCAGAACAAACAAAGGUUGCACAACGGGGUUUUGAGAUGUUUCUGGUGGAGCAGCUCAGCAGCAGCUCGUGCUGGCAGUGGGAUCAGUGCCGUGGGCUGGGCAGGUGGAGGUGGGUUUGGAGGUGGGUUUGGAGGUGGGUUUGGAGGUGUGGAUGUGAGCCUGGCACCUUCCUGAGCAUUUCCUCAGGACUGGGGGGUUCUGUGACCCCCUGACUUUCUGUGCCUCUGUUUCAAGCAGCACGGGUGGUGCUGGCUGCUGUCACCUUCAGUGGCACCUGCCUGCCCCUCUGCCUGCCCCUGCCCAGUUUUUGGGCUAAAAGCUGCUUCAUCUCUGGAAAAAACUGAAAAAAUGGGGGGAAAAGAGUUAAACCCAGCCUGGCUGGCUGCUCUGUGUACACUGGCUGUGACUCAGAGCUGUCACCUCUGCUAGGUGUCCCCUUCCUGGCAGCUGGGCUGGGUGCCAGUUAAACCCAACCCAGCCUGGCCUGGCUGCCAAGGGGCCAAGGAGCAGCUGAGCAGGGAGAGGCACCAGCACCAGCCUGGCCAGAGCCACCAGCCCUGGGGUGUCCCCAGCCUCACCUCGUGCCCCUCUGAGGGGCUCUGGGUGAGCAGUGCCAGUGCCACCCCUGCUGUCCCCACACUGUCCCCCUGCUCUGUUGGCACUGCAGCUCUGUCCGGAGUGUUUGCUGAGAGGGAUCUUGCCCAGCUGCUUGUAAACUUUCCUGCUCUGCUGCCUUCUAAGUGUUUUUUUUUUUAGGUUUAUAAUGCUGCAGUGUCAGCUCGUGCUGUGUGUUGUGUGCUCUGUGCGCUUGGGCAUAAAUAUCUGUCAGUGUUUAUUUACAAUAAAGAGACUUUAAAAACCAC